GCUAUGUUUUGUUGUUCCUCACCAAAUUCUUACCUAGCAGGUUCAGCAACAGCUUCUUUCCAGAUAUAAGGUGCGAUUACGGGCUUCGGUUAGCAUCUGCAAUCCUGUUAAGAUCAGUUGAGUGCUAUCCUGUUAAGAUCAGUUGGAGUUGUGUCCAUCUAAGAUCAGUUGAAGCGGCAUCUCACACCUUUGUGUUUGAAUUUUGUAAGGUUUAGAUGUUGAUAAUUAGUUCAAUGAGGAAAGGGUGUUGCUUUUGUAUGAACAAGCGGGAAAAAAGGACAUUGUGCAGCUAAUAUCUAGAUAUUCAGGACAUUGCACUAAAGGGUUGGAUGGAGAAUGAUGAAGAAGGAACUGAUUUCAGUAAUUACGGUAAGAAAUUUGGGUACAAAUUUGUUAGAGAUUUGCGAAAAGUUCUUAAGCCGAGAAAGUUGAGAAGGUUUGCAGUAGUUGUUGUUGAGUAUGGUGAUGAAUAGAGGAGAAAUCAAUUUUAGAGGUUGUAAUUGAUCAGGAGUGUUGGUUAAACUAUAUACAAUGAUCAACUAUUUCGGCAGUAAAAUCGGUAAUGUAUCCGUGCCUGAUCCUCCAUCUUAUUAUAAUGAGUACUCCUUUGAGUUUUUACUGGUUAUUCUUUAGAUAGCUUUUCACGUUGCAAAUUUAAGUCAAAUUUGGUUAAUCUCUAUUUCCUGCACCAGUGACCAGUCCAGUAUUUGCCAUGUGCUUGGUUGGUUUGCCAUGCACUUGGUUGGUUUCUCUUAGGGUUAUCAAGCACUCCGGAUCAUUACAUAUUAUUCUACGCUGCCUCCUGGUUCCAAUAAUAAUUGUGAAGGAGGUUCAAAUAAUAAUUGUGGAGAGGGUUCAACACUUGCAGCUCUGCCUGUAAGUUAGUUCUUUAACAUUUUUUGCUUUAGAUUCUGGGCAUAGUUCGAUUACGGGGACAUUCAGUAUUGAUGAACACUCCUUGAAAGUAAGGUUACCUGAUCCAAGUAUGUCCCCACCUAUCCCUACGUGUUGCAUUAUUUAUCUGUUUUUAUCUGUGUCACAUUCUGCAAAGAAGUGCAAUCGAAUCCUUGGAUGCAUCUUCAUCUGUUUGGAAGAGAUGGGCCAUGAAUUAAUGCUCAUUGCUCACUUGAGAUGCAUGUUUUAUUUAUUUACCUUGCCAUAUGGCCAGUGUAAGGCUCUAUCUUAAUUGUAGUUUUUAGUACUUACAGUUAGAAUAAGGAAUCAUGGUUUCUUUGUAGUGUUCAUGUCAAUUGUAUUUUGUAUGUGUUUAACUCAUUAUUAGGU